CCUACGGGUCGCAGCAGUGGGGAAUAUUUCGCAAUGGGCGAAAGCCUGACGCAGCGACGCCGCGUGAGGGAUGAAGGUCUUCGGAUCGUACACCUCUGUCAGCAGGGAAGAACGGUCACUGUGCUAAUCAGCAGUGAAUUGCCGGUACCUGCACAGGAAGCACCGGCUAACUCCGUGCCAGCAGCCGCGGUAAUACGGAGGGUGCGAGCGUUAAUCGGACUUACUGGGCGUAAGGCGCUCGUAGGCGGUAUGUCAAGUCAAGGGUGAAAUCCCCGCGCUCAACGUGGGAACUGCCUUUGAAACUGGCAAACUGGAGUGUGUGAGAGGAUAGUGGAAUUCCAGGUGUAGGAGUGAAAUCCGUAGAUAUCUGGAGGAACAUCAGUGGCGAAGGCGACUAUCUGGCACAUAACUGACGCUGAGGAGCGAAAGCGUGGGUAGCAAACAGGAUUAGAUACCCUAGUAGUC
rnacentral:rRNA from 1 species